GAGGCAUGACUGACGAUUGCCAGAGCAGGAACUGAGAGACCACAUCCCCAGCUAUAAAUAGGAAGCUGAAAUAGGCAACUGGAAGUGGGGUGAGGCUGGAAACUUUCCAAUCCCGUGCCCAGUGAUGCACUUCCUUCAGUAGGCCCUAAAGGUUUCAUAUCCUCCCCCAAACAGCUCCACCAAUGGGGGCAGGGUGUUUACCUGACCUAUGUGGGACGGUUCUUCCUCAAACAUCAGUCAGUGACCAUAAGUAGCAACCUGAGAAAUAUGGGACUUUAGCCUAAAUGGAGCAGUGGAAUGGAGGGACAGCAGCUGGGGACCUGGCCAGCAGUUUUCCACAUCCAAUAAGGUGGCGUAUCCCAGAGCCUGUGUGCCCACAGCUGGAGUCCAGUUCAGGAGCGCUGCUCCCAGAGCCCCUGGACCAAUGGUCCUGCUGGUUCCUGAUGAUGUGGUGGCUGAAUCUGGGAUCUUGUCACUUCCUAAUCACAGAAUCCUUAAGGACGGGGGCAGGGGCAGAUUCUCCUGUCUUGUUGCUCUUUAACGUUAGCCAGGCUAAUAUGUGAUUGAAGAGGAAGUGUCAUCCCUGAUCCUGGACACCAUCUCAUUUAGAUUUUGGAUAUUUUAGAGCAAAGGAGAAAAGACAAUAAAGGAUUCUGGUCUGAAAA